rnacentral:misc_RNA from 1 species
GCAGUGCAAAUUGAAGAUUUUAUUAGGUCGACAUAACAAAAUGAACAACCACCCCAGAAUCUUCAUCGCUUAAUCGCCUGCACGCACGCGCACCUCCCCAUCGAGGCUAUAAACCCUCGAAACCCAUAUUCCAGCAAUUCUCUUUAGUACGCACUCUGUACGACCGUCAUAUUAGCACGCACUCUGUACGACCCUCAAAUCAUUUUAUUUCCUUUUUACUUUGUUUUGUCCAGAGCAAUAAUUAUGGCAGAAGUUGAUCAAAGUAUUGUCGAGCAUGAUGUGGAUCCAGCAGCAGUUCCUGGAUUGGAUGUUGCUGUAGAUCAUGGCUUGGAUCAUGCUGUGGAUCAUGAUGUAGAUCAUCCUGUGGAUUAUGGUCUGGAUCAUGCUGUUGAUGAUGUUGUGAAUCAUCCUGUUGAUCAGGGGUUGGAACAUGGUGUUGAUCACAGCUUGGAUCAAGCUACAGAUAGCUUUGCUGUAGAGCAUAAUGUCGAUCAUGCUGUAGAUCAGAAUGUGGAUCAUGCUAUAGAACAUGAUAUAGACCAUGCAGAAGAUCAUGUGCCUGAGAAUUUUCAGGCUCAAGAAAAACAAGGACAUGAUGAGGA